rnacentral:rRNA from 1 species
GUGAGGAAUUUUGCGCAAUGGGGGAAACCCUGACGCAGCAACGCCGCGUGAGUGAUGAAGGCCUUCGGGUCGUAAAGCUCUGUCAAGUGGGAAGAACCUGCUCUGUGAUAACACCACGGGGCACCGACGGUACCACUGAAGGAAGCACCGGCUAACUCCGUGCCAGCAGCCGCGGUAAUACGGGGGGUGCUAGCGUUAUUCGGAAUCAUUGGGCGUAAAGGGCGCGUAGGCGGUCUUUUAAGUCAGAUGUGAAAGCCCUCGGCUUAACCGAGGAAGUGCAUUUGAUACUAAGAGACUUGAGUAUGGGAGAGGGAAGCGGAAUUCCUGGUGUAGCGGUGAAAUGCGUAGAUAUCAGGAGGAACACCGGUGGCGAAGGCGGCUUCCUGGACCAAUACUGACGCUGAGGCGCGAAGGCGUGGGGAGCAAACAGGAUUAGAAACCCCAGUAGUCC